CAAGCGUUGUCCGGAAUUAUUGGGCGUAAAGCGCGCGCAGGCGGUCCUUUAAGUCUGAUGUGAAAGCCCACGGCUCAACCGUGGAGGGUCAUUGGAAACUGGGGGACUUGAGUACAGAAGAGAAGAGUGGAAUUCCACGUGUAGCGGUGAAAUGCGUAGAGAUGUGGAGGAACACCAGUGGCGAAGGCGACUCUUUGGUCUGUAACUGACGCUGAGGCGCGAAAGCGUGGGGAGCAAACAGG
rnacentral:rRNA from 1 species